AAGAUUAGAGGAAAAUAAUACACCAAGAUUGAAUCAUCAGGAGUCCUUUGCAUAGACCACUCAUCUAAACUUAAGGGACAGCUGCCUUUCCGCUGAAGAUUUUUAUAAGUCCAGCCAGCAAGAAAGUUCAGAGCACCAAAAAUCUUAACUGUCGUAAGGUACAACUACGGAUCCUCUCAGGAGGCAUUCAAGUCAGCUCCUUACAGGAUCAGCCCCUUGGGGUUCCAGCCUCUGACUAUUGACGGAUUUUCUUUGUUUCUUAAUGUUUUUGUUCCUCUUCAUCUUUUUUUCUUCACAGCUUAUUGACCAACUGCCAAAUGCUUCAGUAUGGUUGCUCAGAACUUCAGCUGGAGUAAUUCAAAGGAGCUGAAUCAAUUUAUACCAGUUGAGGAUCUGAGUGAGUGGAGAUAAUAAUUGCUGCUGGCCUAUUAUACCAGAAGAAAAUCAGGUUGUUGUGUACUUACAGCUGUCAAGGGUGAUUCCCCACUCUGGCACUUUGAGUGCAGAAGCUCGGAGCAAACCGAUUGCAUAUUGGAAAAUCCUGGAUGAUGUAAAAAACAUAUUGCCUAGUAAUGAUGUUCUCCUUAUUAAGCAAGCUGGACUGCAUUUCCAUCAGGCAUGGCUUUCCAUUGUCAUGCACCUGUGUGAUCAUUUACACUUUCGUAAAGUUGGUGCAGAGUGGACGUAAAAUGCUACCAUUCAGAUUUUUUAGGCAUCUUUUCACAGGUGUAAAUAAAUGACCAAUCUAUACAAGACAGUGGACAAUCAGGCCUGUUAUUUGUAACAGUCAGCUUUGACUGGGCAGCUGAAUCCACUUCUAGCCAUCUGUAAUAAAAAUACAGAAGCACAUACCUAUGUAUACUGAAUUUUUUAUUAAUAUUUUAUUUUUAUGGUGACAUGUUACCACCAAUACCAAUUAACUAUUGUACGAUAAGUAGCAUCUUGAAAGAUCAUACAGUUUUGUAGCAUCCUGCUGAAUUCUUUGAAGCUUAGAUCUAAAUCUCUGUGGUCAAAUAGGCACCCAUGGGUGAAAUUCACCCUUCUGGAGAUGGGUAGUGUGAGGUCUAUACCCCAGUUAAGCCCCACUU